AUUGAACGCUGGCGGCAUGCUUUACACAUGCAAGUCGAACGGUAACAGGCCGCAAGGUGCUGACGAGUGGCGAACGGGUGAGUAAUGCAUCGGAACGUGCCCAGUCGUGGGGGAUAGCGCAGCGAAAGCUGUGCUAAUACCGCAUACGAUCUAUGGAUGAAAGCGGGGGACCGUAAGGCCUCGCGCGAUUGGAGCGGCCGAUGUCAGAUUAGGUAGUUGGUGGGGUAAAGGCUCACCAAGCCAACGAUCUGUAGCUGGUCUGAGAGGACGACCAGCCAAACUGGGACUGAGACACGGCCCAGACUCCUACGGGAGGCAGCAGUGGGGAAUUUUGGACAAUGGGCGCAAGCCUGAUCCAGCAAUGCCGCGUGCAGGAAGAAGGCCUUCGGGUUGUAAACUGCCUUUGUACGGAACGAAACAGCUCUGGUUAAUACCUGGGGCUAAUGACGGUACCGUAAGAAUAAGCACCGGCUAACUACGUGCCAGCCGCCGCCGUAAUAC
rnacentral:rRNA from 1 species